GGUUCUGCCAUGGACAAGCUGAAGUCUCUCUGGGACCAGGGGACCCGCAUGGCCCAGCCACCCCACCCCACCAUCUCCCAGGCAUGUGAGAAAAUAUCACAUUCUCUGUGUUUUGGAGAUUUCUUCUAAAUGUAUUUUCCAACUAUCAUUUCAUAGCAAAUCAGCGAGAAAAAAGGUAUAAUAUUAGGCAGAAACCCAAUAUAAAAAGAAAAGCAGAGUUGUUGUAGAUUCAUCGAGGGCUGGCGACCUGGUUCCAAUGAGCCAUCUCCCCGUUCCGACAGGGGCUUCCUGGAGCUCCUGCAACCCCAGGCAUUAGUUCCAGUGCAGUUCUAGGAUCAGAUCAAUUCACUCGACAACAAGAGAAACAAAUGGAGAUUCCUACACAAAGACUUUCAAGCACAAAGAAAUCCUGCUGCCUGUAAAGUGGAGCUGCCUCAGCUCUUGAUGAACGACAGAAAAUCUCACAUUCCAGGAAUUCAGAUGAAGUGAAGUGCUCUCAUGGGGACCAGGCAUGGUUAUUCCAGUCCACUGCCCUGCAAGCCUCAAGGGAAGCCAACUGCCCUUCAGCAAGUCACACCUGCCUUGGUGGAGGCCUUGAUUGGAAGUGCCACACGCUACAUGUCCAGUCCUGAGCGGGAGAAUCGGUGUAGGGACGUUGUGGGGAUGCCGGCUGUGGCCAGAUCAGGUCCAGCUACAGAAGAAUGAAGACUCCACCUGAGGGCUGGAAAAACAAAACCUCAAGUGUGAGGCAGCCAACCUGUUACCUCGAGGGACUGUCCCGCAGCACAGCGGGGCCAUGGGAACAGCAGCAGACACCCCGGCCUCCUCGCUACCUGUGUGUGUAUUAACGCCCCGGCCCCCUCACUACCUAUCAACUAUGGCCUGA
rnacentral:lncRNA from 1 species